CCCUGUGUGGCUCAGUUGGUAGAGCAUGGUGUUUGCAACGCCAGGGUUGUGGGUUCAAUUCCCACAUGGGGG
rnacentral:tRNA from 1 species